CGGAGACGCGCGGGCUGGCGGGUCCCAGGCAGGCGGACGCGCGCAGCUGCGGGCGUCAGCGCGGCAGAGCAGGAGCGGCCCGAGCGAGCGGCGUGAACUGAGCCGGUGAGCGCAGACACAGGGAGCCGGUGAGGAUACGGCAGUGGCGCGAACGAGCGCGCGCAGGUGGAGUGGAGGCCGAGCAGGACGACGACGUGCAGGCGUGCGUGUGCGGAUGCGAGACCGGCGGCACGUUGUGGAACGGUCUGCGCGAGCUUGAGCGCGGAGUUCGCGAUACGGGAACGCGCAGGCACACGUAUGUGGGAGUGUCGGCGAGGCUGUCGGCGAUAGUGCAGGAGUGAUGAUGGCGGCUGUUAUUCAGGGACGCGAACCCAAUCAUCAGACCGGCGCCGACGCUAGCAAACACGGGGAGGAGGCGGUCGCCAGUUUGGGGGCACCGCCAUCAAUGGAGCACGCCCGACGAAGACCGACGAAUUGAAAGGAAGGAUGCGAGCUCGCUCGCUCAUGAGAUGCACGAGGAGCGGCGAGCCGAAAGGAAAGGCGGCAACGCGGAGGUGGCGACCGGAUGCAAUGAGCUCGGAGGAGCCACGCACGGCGAGUUCCCUUCAUCCGUGCGGAAGUCGAGGCAAAGAGGGUGAGUGUGGCGCGGCGAGGCGAAAGCGAAGGUCCGGACGGAUUUGGACUAGCACGUCCACGGAUACGAGCGAGAGUGCUCUACCGGUGACCGGCUCGACUCGAUUCAGCAAGCGCGUGCGUGUACAAGACAACAGGCCAUCUUCCACCCACGGCAACCAUCCCCGACAAACUUCUUCGUCAUCCUCAGGAUCUCGUCAUCGUCGAGCUCAUCUUAUCGUCGCCAAUCCUAUUCACCGCGGGAAUUUACUUUCCGCGUAUUCUUCUCCACGACUAAGUCUACCCCAAGGUUUGCCCUAAUCCACUAAAUCUUUCUAAUGCCGGCGAUUCCUUUGUCGAGAUAUCGUCGUUAACUUUCUGUUAUCUGUUUUCCCGGACCAGGGACUUGAUUGCUUCGUUUUAGAAAGUUCUAGGGUGUUCUUUGUAAAAUUUCCAAAGCUUUCCGUAAUUCAAAUCGAUGAACUUCUACAUUUCAUAGAUUUUCGUAGGAAGUUCAUAAAAAUGUAAAAUCAGUUUUGUUUGAAACCCUAAGUCAAACACUACAAGCUUUAUGUCAUGAUCUUGAGUUGAGAUCUUUGAUGCGUGGUUUAGGUCAAAUAUUAGGGAAUGAAUGUUUUAUUGUGCUUUAUAUUGUAUGCAUGUGAUAUAGCUGGGAAAUAAUUAUAGGAUAUAUGUUUUAAAUGGAGAUGUGUGACAGUUAGUUAAUCCUGUCACCCGAGUGCUCAUAUCUCUGCCUUCAAGACUUUAUCCUUGUCUUGAUUGUCGUUUCCUUAGGAUUCUCUUCGUAUAAAGAUUCCUACUAAUCCGUGUGUAUCUGCUACUUAGCCAAUACCUCUCUGCAACUAUGCUUCAGUAUUGGCUAUCAGAUCAGCCACUAAGCAUCUGUUCCCUUUGAGUUUAGAAUAUUUCUGCGUAACAGCUGUCAGCCGAUACAUUUCUUGUGAUAUGCUUCUACUAUCGGCUGGUUAGCUGAUACGAUUGUUACCUUUCUAGUAUCGACUACUGCCGAUACAAGUCUGUUGUUCUAUCCUACAUCGACUACACAGAGUCGAUGUAUCGGAGAGACACCCACAAUCUUAGGGUUUUUGCCAUCGGCUGACCCAAGCCGAUUUUGGUUACUUUUCCCAUAUCGGUCAAACACGGCCGAUCGAUCCUUAGUUUUCCCAUCUCCAUAUCCACACACUCCUAUCAGUCGAUUUAUCGACUGAAAGAUCGGCUAUCUAUAUUUAUCAGUCAUAUACCCUUAACCACACUCCAAUCGGCUAUACGUCACUCAAUUGUUGUGUUGACGUAAUCGAGUCGAUAUAACCACACUUAGUUACCUAGAAUAACAUUUAAGAACAUCUUAGUUAAGACAACUGUUUUAGGAAUCAUCCUUCUACCAAAAUAAUCGAUGCUUUCAUCGAUCACCUAGGAAAUCGAUACACCUUUCCAUCAACUAAACCCUGCUGUUUCCAAUCGGCUUUGCUGUAAUCUUCAACGAGUAGCCGAUUCUAGUUGGUUGUCCCCCUAAAGCUCUGUCUAGGUUUAGUUCAGAUCUUUUUGGUUGUUAUGUGAAUAAUGUGUUAAAUGAGUGUUAGAUUGCAACUUUAUUGUGAAGUAAGAUAGUUUUGUGUGCACAUUUGAAUGUGAUGUCGCAUUGCAUGUAGAUACGACUACUUCGGCAACGGUAUCUACGAGAUCUCCCCGGAGUCCGCAGAGAAUGUUUCUGAAGACCAAGUGGAUGUCAUCAAGGAGAUAUUGGAAGCUCCGAACCAAGUUCAGAAGAUAACAACGCUAACAUCUCUGACUUCAGUCCCACCAGUAAAGGCAAGCCCCGGACAUAUCCCAUUACUUUAUCGACACUGCAAUCUAUGCUUAUUUAUAUUAUAUCUUGCAUUAAGUCUAGGAGUUGAAGUGAAACCCUAGAUGCAUGAAUCCUAGGAAUCCAAUGUAAUGCUUCCGAGUCCUUAUCGGAUAGUUGCUCCGCUAAUAGGACCGGUAGAAGUCGAGUGAUUUCCUGUCACUCGCGCGACAUAGGAGUUGCAUGUUUACAUUUCUGCAACCACUAUAAGGAUGACGGACAGGGUCAUGUGCUGUAUCAUGACCUGAAAGUUACCCUGUCUGUUUCGUUAAAAGUUGAUAAGGUCGAUCUAUGUGGUAGUGGUGGCUAAGUUUUUGAAAGUACUGGCCACAUGCCGCGAAAUAUGGUAAGCGGCAAGCCUAGUAACCAAUCGGCCCGGCAAGUGGACAUACCUCCCACCACUCGAUUUUAUGUUAUGUUUACACGCACCGAUGUGCGGGAGUACGUUCUGCAAGGCAGACAGGAAUACGGGUUUUGUAGUCGCGCUACAGACGUAUGUCCUGUACACAUUGGGUGUGCGUACGGUCCUGCAGUCGCUUGUGGUGGACCUGAUCCACGACCCGGAAUGAAAGGCAAACGGUUGCUUCGGAAUGCCCUGUUGGUAUUCCAAGCGUGUGUGUUAGGUUUACCUUGCAAGGUUAAAUUCGAUUCGGAUCGUCCGCCUCUCACGAGGAUUGAGACUGCUUAUCCCUUCUGCCACAUUGAGUAAGAAGUGGAACUAAUGAUAGAUAAUCUUGUUGAAUGAUAAUCACUACCUUGCUUGCUUAGUGUAGGUGCUAAUCUAGAAUAAAUACUCAACUAGAAAAUGAAAGCUAAAACUUGAAAAUAGUUCAUACUCUUUGUUACUUUUCAGCUGAAAAUAAACCCAGAGCCUUUGCAAUGCCUUCACGAGUCUAGUUACGGGCUAACGUAUACCCAACCCCGGGUAAGCCUUGCUGAGUAUUAGUAUACUCAGCCUUGCUAGUUUUAUACUUUUCAGGUAAAGCCUUUGAAGACCCAACUCUUUCCCUGUCAUGGCCCUGUGCUCUUCCAGAAGGUUGGUCCGUGGAAUGGGAUCCGUCCCCGACCAACAUUGGUGAUACCGAGUGAUGUCGUGCCUGGGCUUAGCAUGACAUCCAUCUUGUCGACGUGCUGUAGAUCAUUGCGUAUGUUUUCCGCUGCUAAAGAUCAUAGCUUAAACGGUUUGUAUUAUGUUCUCUAGGUUUGAAACUUUGUUCUACUUUUAUAAACUCUUGUAAUGUAAUUCCCUUCGAUGUAAAAUAUGAUGGUGACUGUAUCUCUGGACUCACCUUCGUGUGAGGUAACCUUAUUGAUCCUGUGUAUCGGUGGUUUAUCGGGACGUUACCCGACAGGCCAAGGGAUUAUACCGUUUGAAGGACGUUGGAGCCCUCGGAAGUGGACUCGCGUACUUGAGCCGGUAUAAUUCAGGUUGGUUCUGCCACAGCUGGUAUCAGAGCUAUAAGGUUACUCUGGAGAUAUAUUUUACCUUAAAAAUACUUUCGGUAUAAAAGUUUGACCAACCAAAGGUUUCCCAAAACUACGUUGGAUUCGUUAAGGAUUAUGUAUAGUACGUAAAGCCCUAGGGUAAUGCUUAUGAUGGAAAUAGAGGUGGCUAUACAUAUAUAUAUAACCCUAACUACCAGCAUUACUUUUCCGUCAAAACUUAAAUUUAUGCACAACCCAACCUUACUUUCUGUAACGACAUCUUCGAUGAUGAGGUAAGGAGGUAAGGAUCCUCAGCCAACUGAGGGAGCUUGGCCUUCCCGUCGGUGAUGCGAACCGAACGCUGUUUCUCAAGCAGUGGCCUACUUGAGAUGCUGCCAAUGUACCAAUUUCGAUUGACUACAUUGGGAGUAUAUGGUUCGGCGCAGGGUAUGGCGAUCGCAGAUCAUACCCCCGCAUUUUGCGGUACCCCCGUGAAUACGUUAUCUCGAUAACGUAUGUUAACGUUGUCUGUACAGCGGUAAUUGUACAGAUGCUGUUUCUAUAGUGAACAGUAAUGUUUGGGAACGCUUUCAUGACAUGCUGGCAUGAAAGGUUCAGUAUAUACAUAUUGUGAUUUUCUGCAGGUAUGCUAACCUCGUUACGUAAGCUUGAACGUAAGAACGACUAGUAUAUAUAUAGGGAGAGACGUAUUUAUAUGAUGCCACCGUAACUAACCACGUAAGACCAAGAUUACUUGGCAGUUAUUUUUGUUUGUGAGGACGGGUAGAACGUGCAUACAUCAUGAUAUCUUGGAUUGACCUGAUUGCUUUGUUUGAUACGUUGAUGUACUGAAAUAUGUUGCUUGUAUUUGAAUGCCUGUUUUGACUUUGUGUUGUAGGAGUUAAUGUAAUCUGCUAGGCUAUCUUAGAGUUAAGAAAGUCUUUUAGGAAUCAAGUGGAUUGGGUUAUCUUUGAACCCUAUCACCAAUCUUGGCUGGACAGCCAAAUUAAAUCCUUGAUUUUGCUUUAAAUCUGUUUCGACAAAAUCAUUAAACUUCUCCUUAGAUGGUUAAACCUUGAUGAUUAUCAUCAAACUCUUCAAUCCAUCAUCUAGUGAUUUAUCUAUCCUCUCUUGGUGUUGUACCGUAUAUCGUUGACUAAUCUGGUUACAACAUCUGAAAGCUGUACCUUCAAUUUUUGCUCAGAUGAUUUUGGAUAAAUUAAAAAGAUGUAUGACAAUAAUUCCAUUUUGCAUACAAUUCUCCCGGCAAAAAGUCAUGCAUCAUAACAUAUACCAUUUUGGUCAAUGCAUGGUGUUGCAUCAUCAUCGAAAGCCCGUAGACUAACUAACGAGUGUGCCUCCUGUACAGCUUUAGGUUGUCUUCGGCUUCUUAAGACCUAUCUUGCUGCUGUUGGCACUAUAAGGUUGUUAUUCCUCUUUUGUGGUGGUGUUUAAUCACAUAACCAUGAUGCCGUGUCGGAACCUAAGGCCUCAUGUGCGCUGCAGUCACAUGAUUGAGCCAUUAGGAGCGCACUGGUGACUAGGUACAUGUGACGUAACCCCACUGCAAACUCUUCUUAUGCAACCUUAUUAGUGUCCUAACUUUUGAUCCUCGUUUAAGGAUAUAGAGCCACCCAGGUGUUAGUUACAAGAGAACGGUUGUAGGAUGCGAGUCACGAGCAUCAUUAACUCAUGAGGGUAAGCAUCAUAUUUCAUGCAUUUCAUAUGUGCAUACAUUGCAAAUGUCAUCAUCCUUGCAUCAUGGUGUAUGCAUCAUUUGGUCAGCAUCAUGGCAAUUGCAUUGUGUCAUAUGCAUCAUCUCGGUCGUGCAUGGGAUCCCUCAUCCUCGUGUUGCAUCAUCAUUGCAAUCAUACAUCUCAACAGUGCAUCAUAUUCAUAAUUAUAUAUUGAGCAUUGCACUCGGAGUAGAGCAUUUUAUUAUUAUCCCUUGAUUGCAUCGGUCUAAAUAGGCAUAUUUUGCAAUAACAUCAUCUAAAAUUAUUCAGGUAACAAACUCUGAGCAAGAAUAUUUCAAACAUCACUUUGUCAAUCCCUUGUACUAUCCUUACUUGUUAUCCAUGAGUUUUGCGAUGAAUGUCAUCGACAUUUAUCGUCCUUAUGUAUAAUCUCUUAUCUUGUUAAACUCAUCUAUGCACCAUCUCUUCAUGCUCUCGUUAUACUCAUCUCGUCAUGCUCUCGUCAUCAAUCUCAAACUUCUCUGGUGUGAUUGCUUCUUUCCACUUUUGAUGUGUGAUUUGCUUCUCUUCCCUUUAGAAUCUUACGUCCGAAUCUCGGGACGAGAUUCUUUUUAGGGGGGAGGGUUGUGACAGUUCGUGUGUUUGUAAUGCUAGGCAUGUAUUUUGAUAGUGUGAAAUAUGUGUUUGUUUGUAUAAAGCUUAUGUGUGUUUAUGUGAAGCUUUUGAAAAUUUAAAGUGUAAAUAAAAAGGGUAUUUUUGUAAUUACAGAAAAACCUAGGGUUGUUUUUGCAAAAUGUAUUUGGAGAAGGAUAAUUUCAAAAUAAGUGAAAGGUGGUUUUGGUAAAUAUGUUUUUCUUACUUUAUGUUUUGUAAAAAUAUAUAUAUUUACUCAAAAGUUGCAUUGGAAAUGCGCGUGUUGAAAUAUGUAAAAAUUUUGGGUAAAGUGGUAAAAAUAAGGGUAUUUAUGUGAUUUUAUAAAAUUACAAUUCCUUUUAUGCAAAUGUUCGAUUUACAAAAGUAACUUUCAAAUUUACUUAGGACUAAAGUGUAAAAGUGCAAGUCAUCAUGACAUGUCUAUCCAAUCAUUAUGACGAUUCUAUCCCGUCAUUAUGACAUGUCAUAAAUGCUUGCAUUUAAGUCCUGAAUUUUAUAAAAUUACACUUUAAGGACAAAAGCAACUCAAAUCCAACUUUUAUUCAAAACUUCACGCGUAAAAAUAUAAAUUUUGAGUUUUUGAACUUGAGCCCUAAAGCAAUGUUGUAGAGUUUGAAAAACUCUCCAACUUUCGUUUUGGGCAUUUCGUCAUUAGAGUUUUAGAUUAACGGAAAAUUUUGUUUUACAGACAGACCCUUGUAGUUUUCUGUAUUUACGCAUAGGUCCUUGGGGAAAUCUGUUUACCCUUCUCCUCUGUUUCUUAUCCUGACACCUCCUUUCUUUUUGUUUCCCACCGGCGGUAGCUCUGCCAAAUUUCCUUUUCCCCUCCCCUCCCUCUCCUCAGCAAGCAGGCAGCGGCACCAAAACAUUUCUUUUCUUCCUCUUCCUCUCUCUAUUCUUCUUCCUGUUAGCUUCCUCUUCCACUCACAGGCAUUGGGGAUCCGGCAGCCAGGGGCCCGAGCGGCUCGGGCAUGGGAGCUGGAAGCGCGGGUGGAGGCGCGCUGGGGCAGAGGCCGCAGCGGGCGGCUCGGCUCGCGGGGCAGGCGGUGGCGCGGCCCAGGCGCGGGCGAGCGGCGGCCGUGGGCGGCGCGGGCCGCGGUAGGCGCGGGGGCCCAGCAGCGGCUCAGGCGCGCGGCUGGAGGCGAGACUCAGGCGGAGCGCGCGCAGGGCGCAGGGGGGAGCGAGCGGCGCGGCGCGGCUGCGCGGCGGCUCGGUAGUGCGGGCCGCGGGAACCGGUGGCGCGCGGAUGAGCGCGCGCGCGAGCUGCGGCAGGGCGCAGGCGCACGGCUGGAGGCGGGCUGGCGGCGGCUCCUGGCGCAGGUCGGGCGGCAGCUCGGUGCUAGCGUGGGGACCGGAGACGCGCGGGCUGGCGGGUCCCAGGCAGGCGGACGCGCGCAGCUGCGGGCGUCAGCGCGGCAGAGCAGGAGCGGCCCGAGCGAGCGGCGUGAACUGAGCCGGUGAGCGCAGACUCAGGGAGCCGGUGAGGAUACGGCAGUGGCGCGAACGAGCGCGCGCAGGUGGAGUGGAGGCCGAGCAGGACGACGACGUGCAGGCGUGCGUGUGCGGAUGCGAGACCGGCGGCACGUUGUGGAACGGUCUGCGCGAGCUUGAGCGCGGAGUUCGCGAUACGGGAACGCGCAGGCACACGUAUGUGGGAGUGUCAGCGAGGCUGUCGGCGAUAGUGCAGGAGUGAUGAUGGCGGCUGUUAUUCAGGGACGCGAACCCAAUCAUCAGACCGGCGCCGACGCUAGCAAACACGGGGAGGAGGCGGUCGCCAGUUUGGGGGCACCGCCAUCAAUGGAGCACGCCCGACGAAGACCGACGAAUUGAAAGGAAGGAUGCGAGCUCGCUCGCUCAUGAGAUGCACGAGGAGCGGCGAGCCGAAAGGAAAGGCGGCAACGCGGAGGUGGCGACCGGAUGCAAUGAGCUCGGAGGAGCCACGCACGGCGAGUUCCCUUCAUCCGUGCGGAAGUCGAGGCAAAGAGGGUGAGUGUGGCGCGGCGAGGCGAAAGCGAAGGUCCGGACGGAUUUGGACUAGCACGUCCACGGAUACGAGCGAGAGUGCUCUACCGGUGACCGGCUCGACUCGAUUCAGCAAGCGCGUGCGUGUACAAGACAACAGGCCAUCUUCCACCCACGGCAACCAUCCCCG
rnacentral:lncRNA from 1 species